rnacentral:rRNA from 1 species
UACGGAGGGUGCAAGCGUUGUCCGGAAUCACUGGGCGUAAAGGGCGCGUAGGCGGCUCAUGAAGGCUGUGGUGAAAGUCCGGGGCUCAACCUCGGAUCGGCCGUGGCGACUCGUGGGCUGGAGCACUGUAGAGGCGGGUGGAAUUCCGGGUGUAGCGGUGGAAUGCGUAGAGAUCCGGAAGAACACCGGUGGCGAAGGCGGCCCGCUGGGCUGUUGCUGACGCUGAGGCGCGACAGCGUGGGGAGCAAACAGG